GAUGAACGCUGGCGGCGUGCCUAAUACAUGCAAGUCGAGCGAACAGACGAGGAGCUUGCUCCUCUGACGUUAGCGGCGGACGGGUGAGUAACACGUGGAUAACCUACCUAUAAGACUGGGAUAACUUCGGGAAACCGGAGCUAAUACCGGAUAAUAUAUUGAACCGCAUGGUUCAAUAGUGAAAGACGGUUUUGCUGUCACUUAUAGAUGGAUCCGCGCCGCAUUAGCUAGUUGGUAAGGUAACGGCUUACCAAGGCAACGAUGCGUAGCCGACCUGAGAGGGUGAUCGGCCACACUGGAACUGAGACACGGUCCAGACUCCUACGGGAGGCAGCAGUGGGGAAUCUUCCGCAAUGGGCGAAAGCCUGACGGAGCAACGCCGCGUGAGUGAUGAAGGUCUUCGGAUCGUAAAACUCUGUUAUUAGGGAAGAACAAAUGUGUAAGUAACUAUGCACGUCUUGACGGUACCUAAUCAGAAAGCCACGGCUAACUACGU
rnacentral:rRNA from 1 species